rnacentral:rRNA from 1 species
CCGGCAAGGUCAACCGGCAGACGAGGUAGUAACACGUACGAACGCACCCCAGAGUCUGGCAUAGCUCGUCGAAAGACGGGGUAAUUCCGGAUGGUCCCGAAAGGGUAAAGUUUUUUCGCUCUGGGAGCGGCGUGCGUAAUAUCAGCUUGUUGGUGAGGUAAUGGCUCACCAAGGCUACGACGUUUAGGGGAGCUGAGAGGCUGACCCCCACCGAUGGGACUGAGACACGGACCAG